AAGCAGGAGGUGUCAGAAAAGUUACCACAGGGAUAACUGGCUUGCUGGCGGCCAAGCGUUCAUAGCGACGUCGCUUUUUUGAUCCUUCGA
rnacentral:miRNA from 1 species